rnacentral:lncRNA from 13 species
AGUAAUGACAGUCUCACCCUACCUUCAACCCAGAGAGAAACAGUAAUGAGUCUCACCCUACCUUCAACCCAGAGGAGAUACAGUAAUGACAGUCUCACACUACCUUCAACCCAGAGAGGAGAAACAGUAAUGACAGUCUCACCCUACCUUCAACCCAGAGAG